AAAAUCUUAGUAUAAAGAGUAAGUAUAAUUUAUUGUCAAUAAUUAGGUUAAGAUUUUA
rnacentral:tRNA from 1 species